CCAUCUGUAUCACCAGAUGAACCUAGGAGCCUGAAUUAAGUAGCGGCUCUGACAAUGUAACGAAGACAAGAAACUAUCUUGUCGGGAGCUAAAUCGCGAGAGAAAGCUCCUCCUGAUAACCACAUAAAUCGGGUGAGUGC
rfam:Vibrionales bacterium SWAT-3 1101732140693, whole genome shotgun sequence.